rnacentral:rRNA from 1 species
AUUGAACGCUGGCGGCAGGCCUAACACAUGCAAGUCGAGCGGAGCGGCGGACGGGUGAGUAAUGCCUAGAAGUCUGCCUGGUAGUGGGGGAUAACGUCCGGAAACGGGCGCUAAUACCGCAUACUAUCAGAUGAGCCUAGGUCGGAUUAGCUAGGUGGUGGGGUAAAGGACUACCAAGGCGACGAUCCGUAACUGGUCUGAGAGGAGGAUCAGUCACACGGGAACGGAGACACGGUCCAGACUCCUACGGGAGGCAGCAGUGGGGAAUAUUGGACAAUGGGCGAAAGCCUGAUGCAGCCAGGCCGCGUGUGUGAAGAGGGUCUUCGGAUUGUAAAGUACUUUCAGCGGGGAGGCGUUACCCGCAGAAGAAGCACCGGCUAACUCCGUGCCAGCAGCCGCGGUAAUAC